UGGCGCCAUGCCAUUCAUACAGAGAGUAUUCAUAAAUAUAAUGUCUAUAAGAGCAUUAAAAGAAAGUGAAUAUCACUGUCCAUAUGAUCACUGGCAGGUUAAAUAUAAAAUCAACCUCGGACACAUCUAAUGACAGUAAUCUGAACAGAUGGCAGUGUGACUUUUACAAACCUUAUGUGUGCCAUUAGCUACAGACAGUGCAUUCAUUUAAAUUUUCACUUGUUUGUAAUGUGUUUUAAGACUAACUCCUAAUUACUGGGAUUUAAAGAGGUACUGCAGCAAUCUGAUGAUCUGAAUUAAUGUUGAAGCUGUCAAAUCUCGGGGACAUGAACGAAUGAGUCACAGGUAUACUUAAUCCUGCUUCUCUUAAGGACACAUACUUUAUCUAUAAGAGCAUAAGCUUACUUUUCGAUGGGGACAGAAUUUGGCAUCGAGGAAUAGGAGCCAAAAUGCCCAUUUAAAUUCAGUCAUCAUAAGGAAAAGCAAUUGGUUAUGGUGAUAAUAUUCUGAUUGCUAAAAAGGACAUUUUAAUUCCUCCCACAGACGACAUAUAGAUAGCUAAAGAGGCAGCACACACAGACACACACCGUGGGAGAAUAAAGAGACCAUUACAAUCAAAGCUCUCUAAUCAUGCCCGGAUUAACUAAUUGCACAUGAUUGCAUCUUCCUUCCACAUUAUUAUUCCAGAUGUGUUUAAAGAAAGUAUAUACUCUCAUCCUUGGUUUAACAAUAGUAACUCCUUAAUUGCCGAAUUAAUGUUCUAUUUCUCAUUUGUAGAAUGACAGAAUUCAUUCCAUCUCAUUGUACCAGAAUGAACCUAACAGAGAUUCAUUACUGGUAUCUGAUUCCACCCUAAUAUUACAGUCAAGUUUCAAUAGGAAUACCAUCAUUUUCACAAAUAUAAUUAUCAGGACAGUGUGGCAAAAUUUUUUGUAAAAUGAUAACCUGGAAAAUUAUGCUAUGAUUUAAAUAAGUGUUCCAACUGAAAGUGGUGUUCAUUUAGACAGAAAGGUGACAUGUGAACAGGAAAAGCAGGCAUAAUUACAAUAAAGGUUUAUCACCGGCUUUUGAUGGUGGAGAUACCAUAGUCCAGAGAUAAGUGAGAGACUCGUGCACGGCUGCUAGACAACACUCCCCUUAAUGUGGACAUGAGAUGAAAAUCACAGGCUUUUUCGGGGUCGUGUUGUGACUCACCAGGCUCAGUAGAAUACCAUGGAUAAAGAGAUUGUGUACAGCAUAGGGCUUGAGUGGCUUCAUGUACUUUGGGCAACGGACAUUCUGCUUUUAAGGCUGCAGCAAGAGUGUAACAGGGUUAAACAGUAUGUGACUCAUCUGAAGAAUGUAAGAUUUAAUUAUGCACUUAUUUUAUUUGCAUCACUGAUAUAAAGAAAAUUUAAUUCAACUGUUGGAAUAGUCAGGAGAACAGGAGAACAGGAGAAAAUUUGGUUUUAUGACUCUCAGUGAACAAAAUAGUAAAUGGAUUUCUAACGGCACACUUCAGAGUCGGACUCUGGAAAAUAAAAUGUCCCACAGCCCCAUCCAGUGGUAUGACCACAUAAUUUUUUUUUUUUUAAAUGUUACAAUGCCUUCAUUACUUAAGAUUUAUCCAAGUACUUAUAAUCCUGAUUAACAAUAAGUCUGAUUAAAUGUUAAUUAACUCUCAAUAUAUAACAAAUGAACAUAUCUUAGGGGGGAAAUUUAAAACAUGAAAAAUACCCUCUCUAUUCCAUGAGAUUUCCAGUAUGGAAAACUAUAUAACAAAAUGAAAAGAUAUUUGUUUUCUGAAAAAACAAAGACAAAGAAAGAAAGAAAGAAACAAACAAACAAACAAAAAAGAAAAUUCCAUGGCUUCAUUACUUCAGUGACAGUUGCAGUUACUUAAUCACUAAAACAAUAAGCCUGGUAAGUUACAGUAAGUCUGAUGAAAAACUAUAUAACAGAUGGUUGAUUAAAUCCCAUUAUUUGUAAUUUUUUUAAUGAAUAGAUAAUAAAAACAUUAUCUUUAGAAAACAAAAUAAAAUGGGAGAAAAGGGGGAAAAACCUUGAAGUUUCCUGAAUGGAAAACGGAAAAUGGAAGAAAAAUAUAUAUAUAUAUAUAUUUUUUUAGUAAGAGUGAACACAAUGUGAAGGAUUGUCCCAAUAGUCAUGCUUGAUAGGAAUAUCAUCAUUGCACUAUUAUCUUUAGUGCUUUAUCUUUGUUGUUUGUACGUCACAGUGAACUUCCAGGUCUCCACCAGCUGGGACAACUGGAUCUCAUCUGCAAAGGCUUCCUCCACAUCUAGAGGAACGUCAAGAUUUUUGCGAUCCAUGUAGGAGUUUCAGCAACAAGAACUCAUGCAUUUCAAGAAGCCAGACAUCCACAGAGCUCUUAGACAAGAAGCUGAUCAGUAGCUUUUUCUCCUUUUCCCCCAGUGGCUGCUGAUACUCUGCUGGGAUUCCUAAGAACGGAUCC
ensembl:lncRNA